rnacentral:rRNA from 1 species
ACCGGCAAACGGGUGCGGAACACGUACAGAACCUUCCUUCGAGCGGGGAAUAGCCCAGAGAAAUUUGGAUUAAUACCCUAUAGUAUAUUGGAGUGGCAUCACUUUGAUAUUAAAGAUUUAUCACUUGAAGAUGGCUGUGCGGCUGAUUAGGUAGUUGGCGGGGUAACGGCCCACCAAGCCUACGAUCAGUAACUGGUGUGAGAGCACGACCAGUCACACGGGCACUGAGACACGGGCCCGACUCCUACGGGAGGCAGCAGUAAGGAAUAUUGGUCAAUGGACGCAAGUCUGAACCAGCCAUGCCGCGUGGAGGAUGAAGGUCCUCUGGAUUGUAAACUUCUUUUAUCUGGGACGAAAAAGGGCUUUUCUAAGUCAACUGACGGUACCAGAUGAAUAAGCACCGGCUAACUCCGUGCCAGCAGCCGCGGUAAUACGGAGGGUGCAAGCGUUAUCCGGAUUCACUGGGUUUAAAGGGUGCGUAGGUGGGUUGGUAAGUCAGUGGUGAAAUCUCCGAGCUUAACUUGGAAACUGCCAUUGAUACUAUCAGUCUUGAAUAUUGUGGAGGUCAGCGGAAUAUGUCAUGUAGCGGUGAAAUGCUUAGAUAUGACAUAGAACACCAAUUGCGAAGGCAGCUGGCUACGCAUAUAUUGACACUGAGGCACGAAAGCGUGGGGAUCAAACAGGAUUAGAUACCCUGGUAGUCCACGCCCU